CGAUGAGAGGGGCUACAUGCAGAGGUUGUGGGACAUAUGGAUGCUUCAAAACCCAACAUCUAAGCUGACAAAGAAACAACUACUAGCUCAGUGUUCCAACAUCCGCAAACAAGCAACUGCUAUCACAACUAGAGAUUGAUGAGGUACAACAAACAUGCUACGGCAAGGGGGAGCCAGGAUGACAGGUCAGAGGGGAGAUAUCAUCAUCCUCCCCACACUCCGAGAUUGGGUACCAAGCCCCAACAAGCCCUUAUGACCUUAACACAAGGGCAACUGACCUAAGAAUGACUAUCAUGACUAAGCUGGACACCCAGCACCCCCGUAGCCGAUUACCAAGGCUAAGUGACAAAGUACCCUCUGAAAGUCUGCAGGAGGAUGUGAAUGCAGCGUUACGUGCUAUCCCUACUAGAACCGUAACUGAGACCAAUCAGCUGGUAUACACCACUGCAACAGUGAUCCUAGAGAUGCUUGGCUACAAGAUGAACACCAUAAGCCACAAAGACUGCAAGACCAGGCAGACCAACCUGUGCACCGCCUGGAUUGACUACAAGGCGGCCUAUGACUCAGUGCCACACACAUGGAUACUGGAAUGCUUGGAAAUGUACAACAUCAACAGGACAUUAAGAGCCUUCAUCAAUAACUCAAUGGGGCUGUGGAAAACAACUCUGGAAGCCAACUCAAAGCCAAUUGCACAAGUUACCAUCAAGUGCGGUAUACACCAAGGUGAUGCACUAUCCCCACUGCUAAAUGAGAGUUAACAGUCAUGUCUAAUAUGGAUGAAUGAGCGUGCUGAAUCGUGUUAGUAUACCGAUGUGAUGAGAGAGAUAUUCCUGUAGCCUUCAAUAUAAAACAUGAUCGAUGGUACAUAACAUUACAGAUGUUGUCACAAGUUAAACUGAACGUUAUGCUAUCACAACUUGACACAGCUAACCCAGCUAGCAGCUAACUCCACGCUAUGUUCGAGUUGAACACAGACAUACCUCAGACUGUAUGUUUCACUUACAGGCUGUAUGAAAGUGGAAACAGUUCUAAAGUCAAGUUGACGUCAGAUUCAUGACGGAAUAUCAGACUAUCAGCAACAUCAUUUUGUGAAUGACUUAAUGCUACUGAUGUUUGCAGUAUUUUGAACAGACAUCGACACAGUCACCUACCACAGCCUAAUGCAGGGGAAUAUCACCAGUUAAUUCAACCACCAGUUAAAUCGACACACCGGUGUGAGAGUAAGACAGUGUAAACAAACUUGUGUUAGCUUGCAAGUUAAGGACAGAAAGUGUUGUUAGCUGUUGUGUUGAACUGCAGUCUUGACAAUUUGAGGGACCACUCAUGUUUUAACUGCAGCAUGCAGGCUAACUGCUAAUGGUAAGCUAGCAGAGUAAGUGAGUGGGCGAGCUAGAGUAAGAGGGUGGCGGUGUGGCUGCUGUCAGGGCAGAUAGAAAUGUGCAGAGCUGGGUGAGCAGAAUAAACUCUGAAUGUGGCAGUACAUGUAUACUAUAUUAUGAUCCACAUUUUGCAAUAUAAAUAAAUUGUGCAGUCCAACAGAUACAUUUUGCUGAUUGUAGUGACUCAAAAAAGCUACAGUUUAUUCCAAGAAGCAGUAAAGGUGACUCAGAGCUCUUCAGCUAGCUGUGGAGGAUGGAUCAGGACCAAUGUCAAAAGUUAGUCUGGAACCCUGACUAGUAGUAUUAACACCCCAUCUCCAACCCGACCUAUUUUCUAACAUAUCUUAAUUUAUUCUUAAGCUUCAUUUAUACCCCCAAGCAGACGUGCACACGGAUAGCUGCGGACACCACGGAUGGAUAGUUGAUGUGUUUAUACUUCCUUCUGGGGUCCGCGUGGAGGACGAGUUCCACACAUGUGCAGUAGAUCGCCGUAUACAGGAACACAGCGUUGUGUCCAUGCGGACACAACAAAUUGCAGGUACACGGAUGUCCGCACAGAGCCUACGCGCACACCCUCUGUUGACGGAAUUUACGUCACGCGGACCCCAGCAGACCCUCACGGACGCGUGAAUGCGACAACUAUAAUUUCAGCUUUAGGGAUCCAUUAGACCUUAUUCCCAGGCCAGAUCUUCCCAGAGCAGUGGCUGCCAGACUGAUCCCCUUCCAAAAAGAUCUGUUGGCACCCAACUUUCCAAGGACACUCAAGAAUCACGUCAGAAGCAGAGGGGUUUUUUAAAAUUUCCUUUACAUUUUUGUUUAUAAUGGGUGAUAAUUCAACUUUGCACACAGUUUGUCACGUAUGGUUUUGCUAUAUGUAAUGUUACAGGUAAAAUAUAAACUUUGUAGGUAUCCAAAUGUUAAAUAUUGCUUCAAAUUCUCUUGAUACUUUUACUAUUUGGUAUUGUAACGGUACAUAGAUAUGAAGUAAUGGUUUGACUGAGUACUGGAAAUAGUUAUUCCCAAAUCAUAUGUUUAUGGACCAUAUAUUCACAUUGCAGUUGAAAAGGGUAUUUACCCCAAAUUAUGUCAGACCCAAAGUCUCAGUGUAACACUUUUGAAGCCCAGUUCACAUAAAUUAUGAGAACCUUCUCUGUGAGACAGUACAUAGUGAGAGCAGACAUUUAACACUAAUCUUAGACUGUUUACAGAUAUCUUGUCCUAUGCACUACAUUUUUUAACAAAGGCAUAUGUUCCAAAUAGCUUCUCAGACAAGUGUGAAAACAAAAAAAAGGGCCGACAUCCCUUUUAUUCUCAGUGGAAAGUGCAAUAUUUCACGACAGAUCCGGCAUCAAAAUGCGUUUUGUUACUAGAGAAAUGUGCAUUCUAUUUUCAUAAUCUAUUUUCAUAAUCUUCGUUCAGUGAAUGUUUAUGUUUAGUUUGUCAGUUAUAAUGAAGAUGAAGCAACAGCAAACUGCUUCCCAAUCUUUUAAAAUAAGACUGAUGUAAGCUAUUUUAUUGAGUUUCCUUGUAGCCAGAUGCUCUGAGUGAAUUUCAGUUCCCUCCUUUAAGCAGUUACGCACUGUAUAUGGCCAGUGCUUUAAUUGUGAAAGGUGAGAACGGAAGAAGUGGAUCUGUAAAGCGCAGCCUUUGAAAAUGUUGUAAGCAAUAAAAAGUUUGCCAUCUUAGUCAGAAUGUGAUCGGCUGGACCUACCUAGACGUACCUAGACCUACUUAUGCCCAGGCGUCAAUCUUCAUUGCGAUCCAUCCCUCAUCCUGCAUCUUCUCCCAGCCACCUCAUCAAAACAUAGACUACAGAGUAGAUCCUCUUUAAAAUCCAACCCAAAGGCUCUUUUAAGAGCCAUCUUUCUCUAUUAUUUUCUAUUCAUUUCACAACUUUGUCUUUCUACUUAUCUGUUUACAUCUAUCUAGCUCUUCUCUCUCUCGUGCUCUCUCUCUCUGUCUGCCUGUCUGUGUGUGUGUGUGUGUGUGUGUGUGUGUGUAUGUAUGUGUGUGUGUUUUCAAUGGCAGGUUUUACCAAUAAAAAUAUAUUGGAAGCUGCACUGCUACUUGGGGACAUCUUUAUUGAGUGUACCCCAGCUCCUGCUGCUCGGAGGGAGACAGUGAGGGGAGACCCCAACGUCCUUUAAGAAGCUGAAAUAUUAAUUCCACCAGUGACGGAGGACAACACCAGGAGUUCAGUUGCAGAUGCACUGCGUCAGGAGCGCCAAGGAGCUGAGGUGCAGGACCCUGAGCCUCUGACUGCGUCAAAUGACUGGGCCACAAGAAACAUAAUGACAGCAGAAAGCUGGAAGGAGGUAAAACCUCAGCUCCUCCUGAAUGCCCUGGCAUCAGAGGCCAUUCCAAGUGUGCGUUGUGGCAGUUGCCAUCUUAAAAAGGCAGUGCUGGAGUGCAAGGAGUGCUUGAGGAGUCCACAGUUUAAUGGCACUCCAUAAUCGCAGGUCGAUGAUCUCCGGCUUCUACUUACCUUUACCUCCUAUAGUAGUUGUGUGGGUAAAGGAUGAAGAUUACUGCCAUAACUCUCAAGGUAAACACUAAAUAUAUAUAUACAUAUAUACACACACACAUAUGUGCUGAUAUGUGUCACGCUUCAAUCCAGGUAGGUACUGUCUGGAUACUCAGUCCUUAUUAAAAGGAUGACAUGAGGGGGUAACCACCCUGACCCUUCGGCCAAGAAACCCCCAGCACCAGCAAGAAUUUUCUGGCUGCUUCAAUAAUUAAAACCUCAAAAGUAAUUUAGUUUACUAGUUUUAAGUGUAUGCGCACAAGCUCAAACUAUGCUUUUUGACUUCACAUUGAGAAAACUUGCAAACGAAUAACAUCUACACACAGAUGAGAUCCCACUGGCUUAUGUUUUAUAGAGUGUUGGGCUGACAAUAUAAUGGCAACUCUAAUACAAAAAUAUAUGUUGAAUUUUACCAGUUUUAAGCAAAAUCAGUUGUGUUUUGUAUUAGCUAUUUAGGAUACAGGGACAGUGGUGAGAAGAUGGAUACAUACUUCUAUGUAAAGCAUGAGACAUGCAGUAAAUGGGUGAGAGAUGCAAGAUGGAUGACGUGUUAGUUGCGGGUGGGAGUUGAUUGUUAAGUAGUUUAUUCUUACCCAAUAUGUCCUUACAAAUCAGCAGCUUAGAUGGAGCUUAGACACAUAAACAGUACAGAUAUAACUAUAGGUGUUAAAAUAUGGGACUUUAAUGAAUCAAUAAUAGCCAUAUUCUUUGUGUUUAAACAUACCAACACUGUCAAGGGCCAGAGCCAACAUGACCUCUAAUUUUGACUCUGGGUCAAAGGCUGGCCACCCGAAAGUGGAAAACUUCAAAUAUCUCAGACUCACUCUGGACAAUAAACUGAGCUUUGAACAACACAUCACUAACAUCCACAAACGCUGCCAACAAAGAUUCUCUGCCAUCUGCAAACUCAAAGCACUUACGGUCGCUCCCCACCUCCUGCUGCUGCUCUAUAAAAGUAUAAUUGAACCCAUUAUCCUCUACUGUUCCCCCUGUUUCUUCACCAUGUUAACUGCCUCCAAUAGGAACAAUCUCAUGAGCAUCACACAAAAUGCCUCCAAAAUUAUUGGCCUUUCCAUCCCCAAUCUCUCAGACCUCAACAGCAAAGCUAUCACGCAGAGCACACGACAUUGUACAUGACUCCAUGUACCCCCCUAAACCCAUUCUUCACACUGCUUCCACCUGGUGGCAGAUACAGAUCCCUGGCCUGGAAAUGGGCACUUUAUGGCUGUAGUUUUGUCCCCUCUGCCAUAGCAUUGCUAAACAAAAUACCCAGAUGACUGUAACUUGUAUAUGUGUGUAUGAAUGUAGAUAUAUAGGUGUCUUUCAUGUAGUUAUGUUGUGGAUGUGUACUGUAUUUAUGUCUCUAUGUAUUCAUGUAAGGUGCUGUACAGACUGUGGCAACAAAUUUUCUUGAAGGACAUUAAAGAAUCUGCUGUCACUCUACGAGCCCUACUUACUUAUGGGAAUUAUGAAAUCUGCUCCCAGGUACAAGCCUAAAACUGUUAAAAUCAACUUAUUCUUGAAUGAAUUAAAAAAGUAACAGAAUAUAUUAAAAACAUGUUAGUCUUUGUUUUCACUGCACCUAUAUGUAGGCCCUCCAAUGAGCAGUGCUGAAAAAAUUGGCCCAUGAUUGAACCUAAUUGCUAAUCCCUGCUCCGGUGUUUGUGUCUAGUUUUGUCUAACCCGUGUCUUGAUAGCACAACAGGAGAGGAACAGCAGCAGCGAGUGCUCCCUCUGUGUGUCCACACUGGAGGUGUUGAGGUGCAGUGUAGAGCGCAGGUGGAAGUGCUCAGAACCCAACACGCGUAAAACAGAGGAAGAGACAUGAAGCAUUAAUGCAAAAAAUGGGAGCAUAAAUGUUGUGUGUGACAUGUGCAUGAAAAAAGCGUCUAACAUGCUUGCUGUUUAGACAUGGGAUAAGAAUCUAUCUAUGUAAUAUUAGGUUGUUUUGCACUAAUAACAAAAUUCAUUGUUACCAAACACUAUCUUGAAAAACUCAUUAGUGGACAUUCAUGGCCUCCAGAGGAUGGCUGCUAAUGAUUCUGGUGACUCCCUCAGCUUUCCUCUGGUACCACUUUUAGUAUGUUUACUGAAUAUUUCUGAGCACAUUUCUGCUCCCCAGAGGAUGAAUAAAAAUCUAGUAUGGCUGAAUCAAAAUGUCUCAGUGUUUGGACACACCAUCCCAUUCGCUUGAAUGUCCAAACUUUUGACUGGUACUAUAAAGCCUGACAAACCAUCAGUAAUUUAGAUACAAUUUAGAUACAUAGCACAAAUGUACAAUAUUUAUUUCAGAUUUUUUUAUGUAUAAUUUAGUCGUGCUCCAUAUUGCAGUUAAGUUUCCGAUGCUAAUUCUGGUUAGAAGCCUUCAGAAGAAUACUAGGGGUCAAGAUCUUGGCACUGGUUAUAUCCAUGGCAAUGGUUUGACAUUGUGUCUCAGUGUAUUUUAUCCCCUCGUGGUCCAGCACCCUUGCAGAUGUAACAUCAUGAUGGUGAGCACUUCAAACCCUCACUGCAAUCUUUUGUGCGUUGCAUUUCCCUGAGUUCACAAGUCAAUUUCUUCAGCUUUGGUGUCUUUUCACUACUUUUGUACUAGUGCCCUGUGCUUUUGUGUAAUACCUCACUUUGUGAACAUUUUCCAAGGAAAGACCUCCCAGGUGUUUACAACAGCUAACAUAAAAGCUUUCUUUAUGAAGUGCUUGUAGGUUGUAUCAGUAUUAUACUAAUAGGCCAGAGAGAAUAACAAGAAGACAUUUACUUUUCUGAAAAAAAACAUGAAGUAUUACUUUAGCCUUCAUCUUUCUGUUGAAUUCUGGGACCAUUCUUCUCAGUUUCUUUAUUCAGCACAAGUCUUGAGCGUGCAGUGUGAUGAAGUGCAGGGAGUGAGUGGGGUGAAGUCAAAGAGAGGGAAGAGCAGAGGUGAGUGGAGGUGAGGAGGAGGCUUGGAUAGAAAGAGCCUUUGUCCUUCUUACCUUUGAUCUGACAGCUUGUUAACAAGAGGAGUAGACCUACUUCUGUAUGCUGGAUACUUCUUUGUCUGCCUUCUCUUUCUCUACCUCUCCCGUACUGUCUCCAUCACCAACAUGAGGGCCAUCUUCCCAUGACUCCUUGUAGAAUUCUGCUCAAACUAUUAGUCUACAGUCUAGCCUUUGACUGAAUACCUUUUUUAAAGAUUGAACAUAUUGUGCAUUAUGUAGGCCAAGAGUGUUGAUCUCCUGAUCACUCAUGUGUUUUCAUAUUUUUAUUAAUAAUAAUCUCUAUUUGUAUAUUACUUUUCAAAAACACGUUUGCGAAAUGCUUAACAGAGUAAAAGGAAUGAUACAUAGACUAAAAUAUUAAGAAAUAAUGAAAGGUAACAAAAUAAACAUUGGAAUAGAACCAUGGGCUAGUAGACAAAAAUAUAAGAUACAUAUGCAAAACAGCAAAACAUCCAGAUCACAAUAAAAAGACCGAGAUAUAAAUUAUAAAUAAUAAUAAUGUAAUAAUAAAUUUCAUUUGUAUAGCACAGUUCAUACAAGUGCAACUCAAAGUGCUUUACAUCAAUAAAAUCCAAAGAUUUAAACAUGAGACAGAACAAAGGCAAACCCAUAAAAGAAAUGAGAUCAAGUAAAAUCAAUUAAAAACAGAAAAUAAAAUAUAGCGAAACACAAAGAGCCCAUAAAUGGUUAUAAGUAGUCAUGAGACCACUAAACUAUAUAAAAGCAAGCCUAAACAAUACGUUUUAAGGUUUCAUUUGAAGCUAUCCUCUAUGUCUGAUGCCCUGACCUCCUCUGGGAAGCUAUUCCAGAGGCGCGAGGGCUUAUGAUACAAAAUUCAGCAUUACUGUCGGUCGUAGUUCUGGGGUCUCAUUCAUAACUGUCGUGUAUGCACAGAAUGGGGCUUGAAAUAGGCCUACACCACUUGGGAGAAUGACCGCAUCUCUAUAUAAACUCUGACCCAUGCGUACAAACAUUUUGAAGACAGGGGAAAUUAGUGAUGCAGAUGGUGAGGUGGUGAUUUGAAGCCAGAUUGUACAAUAAUCCUCUCACACAUUUAAUUUCACUUGAUAUCACAUGUUAUAGAUCCACUUUAUCUUAAACAUUCAAACUAGAGGUGUUAUCUGUACUCGCCCUUGUAGUGAGCCAGAACUAUUCUAUAAGCACCUUUCUAUUUGAAAAGAUAUGAGCCAACUCAGAUCUUAAAUCAGAGUCCGCUCAACAUUUCAUCAGCAUUGUCGCACCCAGAGUGCAGAGGAAAGAUCCACGUAUUCCUAUAGCUCUCAGUGGUAAAGACUUCUUGAGCUUCUUUAAUGCUGAAAUUCUAACUAUUAGAGACAAAAUUCAUCACGUCCUGCCCUCAACAGGCACCGAUUUAUCCACAAACACAGGA